UACGAAGGGGGCUAGCGUUGUUCGGAAUCACUGGGCUUAAAGCGCGUGUAGGCGGGACGGCACGUCGGUCGCUGAAAGCCCCCGGCUCAACCGGGGAAGGGGCGCCGAUACGACCGUCCUCGAGGGACGUAGGGGGACCUGGAACUUCCGGUGGAGCGGUGAAAUGCGUUGAGAUCGGAAGGAACGCCCGUGGCGAAAGCGAGGUCCUGGACGUUUACUGACGCUGAGACGCGAAAGCCAGGGGAGCGAACGGG
rnacentral:rRNA from 1 species